GGUAAGGUGGCUCAGUGGUAAAGUGCUUGUCUUGCAUGCAUGAGGCCCUGGGUUCGAUUCCUCAGCACCA
rnacentral:tRNA from 1 species